UUCCUGGUGGCUCAGAGGGUAAAGCGUCUGUCUGCAAGGCAGGAGACCUCGGUUCGAUCUCUGGGUUAGGAAG
rfam:Ovis aries breed Texel chromosome 1, whole genome shotgun sequence.